CAUUCACCAUGGCAUUUAUAUGUGGCGCUCGACGUGGGCGACAUGCGACGUUCGCUCGAAGUUCACGCUGACUUCCUUGAGUUCGCCUCGCUAUAAAAUUCGAUCCGCUCUGUGUGUGGAUCAUUCUUGUCUGCUCGUUGUGUUUCACCCUCCCACCUCCCAUUUCUCAUCACUCAUUUACUUUGAUAAAGUGAAUAAAAGGGGUGUUGGCCACGCUCAUUUCCAGCUACUCAGGGCCCUCAGUUGCCGUCCCUCGGACAUAUCUAGACUCUCUUGGCUCUGCCAAGAUCCUGCUCUGGCAGUCGACUAGUCUCUCGUAGCUACUUGGCUCUACCAAGAUUCUGCUCCGGCAGUGUCUACCCAACCGACUCUGAAUCUCUCUCGCCGUAGCCUCUCACACUGCUGGCCAGCACUCCCCCGUACCGCAAACUUGCUGUACGGUUGGCUCAUCUCAUAGUCUAGCUGGUGUAUUUCGAUCAGUACUUUCAAAGAGAACAUCUCCUCUCGCAGAUAGAGUCUUCCUAGACCAGAGACUAGGUGUACGGUUGGCUCAUCUCAUAGUCUAGCUGGCAUAUUUCAAUCAUUACUUUGCAAGAGAACAUCUC